rnacentral:rRNA from 1 species
AUUGAACGCUGGCGGCGUGCCCAACACAUGCAAGUCGAGCGGUAACAGGUGUAGCAAUACAUGCUGACGAGCGGCGAACGGGUGAGUAAUGCUUCGGAAUCUGCCCAUGUAGUGGGGAAUAACCAGCCGAAAGGUUGGCUAAUACCGCAUACGACCCUUGCCCACAAGGCAAAGGUGAAAGCAGGGGAUCGCAAGACCUUGCGCUAUUGGANGAGCCGAAGUCGGAUUAGCUAGUUGGUAGGGUAACGGCCUACCAAGGCGACGAUCCGUAGCUGGUCUGAGAGGACGACCAGCCACACUGGGACUGAGACACGGCCCAGACUCCUACGGGAGGCAGCAGUGGGAAUAUUGGGCAAUGGGGAAACCCUGACCCAGCGACGCCGCGUGGGUGAAGAAGGCCU